CAUUAUUUCUUUAGUUGCCCAAUACCGCUAACCCUCAUCUCAGCAAAUCUGCGGUUGUAAAUGUAACAGUAUGUGCAGACAAUAGAUUUAGAAAUGCUCUUGAUCUCAAAUGGAGCGCUCACAAGAACGCGUAUUCGGCUUUUAGUAGAACAUAUUAUAAGUGUCUGAAACAAGCCACUUUUUGGAGACUGUCUUUAUGCUUAGCUGACGAAUGGAAAUUAUGAUUUUGUCUAGUGCAUAGUUUACCAACAAGAGGUCACUGCCUACCUGUGUACCCUGAAGAGAUAUAGGGAAGCAUUACUUGUCCGAGGAGUAGGAAGAAGGCAUUAGGAAACAAGUAGAGACCAUUCGAACAAUUUCUGCAUAUAAUAUCGCGGAAUCAAAAACGCUGCUGAAUUUUGUAAAAGAACUCUUCAUCUUCUAGCCUCAAAAGGGAUGACUGUUGACGUACAGUGGAUCCUGGGUCACGUUUGAAUAACUGGUAAUGAGUGGGCUGGUAAACUAGGUAAAAAAGGAACUGAAAUUUUGAAAUCAAAUAAUAACAUAAUACCAUUUAUAUGAACGAAAAGAAUAGUGACAAACACCCUGAAGAAAAAAUGUUUAAGUUAGAAGAAAUUAAGAAGUGAAGGGAUUUGAUUUGUAAUAUCCCAGACUCUCCCAGAUCCAUCGCAGUUUCGGCGUUUUAUUUGAAGACCGGACAUGAUUCUCUCGCUAAACAUCUGCGCCGUAUUACUAUAUAUGACAGUCUCUCGUGUACUUUGUGCAACCAGAAUUUUGAGAUCGACAGAGAUAAUUUGCUAACAUGUCCUCUUUGAAGAAAGAAAACCUAUGCUGUCGAUAUUGACGGGUUAAGGUGUUGACACAAUUGACAUCCAGAGACUAAUUUGUUAUUAUUAUUAUUAUUAUUAAUGCUUAAUACAGUCACUUGUUAUACCAUUUCCUAGUAGUUGUUGUUAUCGUUUGAUGUAGUUAUUGUUAUUGUAAUGAGGUUAAUUACCGUUUUGUCUUUUUUGUAUUUCUAUUUUUGUAUUUUUUGCAUGCUCCAAUCUCAUGCAUCUUUGAUGCAUGUGGGCCAAUGAUGUAUAAUCAAGUGCCUUUGCAAUAAAAAUAAAUAAAUAAA